UAUAUAGCUUUAACUGCUUGAGAGCCUGGAAGAUUGUAAAGUCGAGGUUCCAUCGCUCACACUUAUCGUCGUUUCCGUCUGCUGUAAAAUUUACGGCGCCGUCUCCAGCUAAUACCGGGAUUCCGCAUGGCGGCAUGCUCAUAAAUAAUUAUCCGUUGGAAAAAGUUACUGCCGGGGCCAUAGUAUGUGCUGGGAGUUCUGCGUCCCCGGGGGAUUCCUAGGCGCUAUUAACAGAUGCUGCUCACCUUCUUCCAAAUUAAUGACUGUACUUGCAGAUUGAGACCACUGGGGCUUUAUGUCCGAAAUAUUUAUAGGACCGGCUUAGAAAUAAAAGACGUGGUCACGCUGUUGGGGCUCCCAAACUAUAAAAGAAGCCAAGGCUGACUCAGCCCACCAGGCUCCACCUAUAACUACGGUUUCGGAAAUUAAGAGAUAAAAGGAAGAAGUGGAGAACCAGCAGAUUUACCAUUUAUAAUAUUUCCUUCAAUAAAAAAUAGGUGGUUAAGCUUGGAGCAAUGCAUUUGAGAAUGUCAGAAUUAAAACCCACACAUCCAUCUGGGGAAGCAUGAAAUAUACCUCUCACCUUCAAUGUGAGCAUUUUUAUGUAUUCAGAGAAAGAGAAUGGGCAUAAGUGCGGCACGCAUUAAGUGCUGGAAAUCGUCCUAAAACUUCAACUUACAUCUUAUGACCACCGGAGGUUUAAUUUUCAAAACAUUUGUAUUUGGCAGAAAGGAUCUGCUCAGGAUCAUAAAAAAGGGAUGCAAUUAAAGGGAACGAAUAUUGAAGUGG